rnacentral:misc_RNA from 1 species
GAAAUGCGAUAAGUAGUGUGAAUUAUAGACUUUAGUGAAUCAUCGAAUCUUUGAACGCACAUUGCGCCCUUUGGAAUUCCACUAGGCAUGCCUGUUCGAGCGUCAUAUACACCCUCAAGCCUGGCUUGGUGCUAGGCGUCUGUCCCGCUCACAGCGUGGACUCGCCUGAAAGAUAUUGGCAGCCAACCCGCCAGCCUCUCGCGCAGCACUUGCGUCUUCGGGAGGCGAUCAGUAGGCUGGCGUCCUACAAGGACACUGUCGUUUGACCUCGGAUCAGGCAGGGAUACCCGCUGAACUUAA